AACGUAAAUGAAAAGAAUCCAGCUAUGCAGUAUUUCUUUUUAACGGGCUCAAUCAAAGUGAUGUUAACAUGCCUGCAGUUCUGAUCGAUCACCACUGAACUCACCUGAAUACAAAUAAUUUUACCGGGUGUCCCGUAUUGAGCAGAGGGAAGUGUGGUCACCUGAGAUCUCAGGCAGGAGUCGGGGGCUCCACGGAAGGGAGUUCUAGUACCCGGAGAGGGUUUCAGUUAACUUGCCGAGCAGAGGGGCCAGUUCCUAAUGAAUUAAAUCUCCCCAGGGAAUAAGAGGCCUCAGCGUGUCCAAGGGCAGGUGGAAGGAAGCUGCUGAGUUUCACAGCAAAACUUCCUCACUGAUGGUUUGACUUGAGGUCUAGAAGCCAAGAAUUGAUGAUUAAACUGCAUAGAGGUAGUUAGGGCUUGAACUCAAUGAACCGAUAUCACUGUUUAGUAUCUGAUUCUGAUUCACAACAUGUUUAUUCAUUACCCUGAGGUACCCAGUAACAGGAAAUAGCUACCGCGGAGAUGCACCACCUGACACCAGCCCGGCGGGUCAGCUCUGCCCAGGACAGUUAUUACAAUACAGUAUUUGGGUUACUGCAGGGCCCACAGCCUGCAAGGCAUCACCUACGUGGCUGGGGAGACGCAGGCCCAGCUCCAAGGAGCUGACAGCUCAGGGCCUCACGUAAACAUACAAAGGGUGGGGAACUGAAUAAAUACACAUCGACUACACCCAACUGCCCCCGCCCCCUCACCGUUGUUAGCUGGCCAAGGUCCUGGAGGAGGGACAUGACCUGGCCUGGAGGG